AUAAAUUGGUCCUUGUUGUUGAAUUUGUUGAUUUUUACC
rnacentral:sRNA from 1 species